AAGACAGCAGGUCCUAAUCCCUGGAGUCUGUGUUACGUUAUAGGGAAACAGAGUCUCUGCAGAUUAGGGAUUUUCUGAGAUGGAGAAAGUAUCCCAAAUGAUCAGGAUGGACUCGAAAUGAAAUCACUUGUAUACACAUAAAAGAGAAGCAGAGGUUGGAUGGAGUAUGGCUGGCAGCCGCCAUAAACUGGAAGAAGUCAGGCAAUUUCCCCCCCUAAGGGGGUGGGGGGGACAACUAAUUUUGGAUCUUCUCUGCCCUUCAGAACUGUGAAAAUAAGUUUGUGUCUGAGGUCAACAGGUUUUUGGAAAUUCAUUUCAGCAGCCAUGGGAAACUAGUUUACCAAGUUCCCUUCAUGGCUGUAGACAGCCCCUUUCCAGUGACCAACAACAGAUUGGCAGCAUCCCCCGACGACCAGUCAUCCCUGAUGCCGAAUACAGCGUUCCACCAAAACUCUGUGCUGAGCCCUCAGGUACAACAUUUUGGAGGCUCCAGAGAGAUAUGGAGACCACCUCUGGGAAGACCUUGCUCGGAUCCAUCCAGGUUGGUGCUCUGGCCAUAGGGGAGGUACCCCCUGAUGAUGUUCCAGGGCCCUGUGUCCUGAUUCACCGACCUGGGAGGCUCGGCUCGACCUCUUCACCGACCAA